rnacentral:tRNA from 1 species
UCCGGCGUAGCUCAGUGGUAGAGCGGCUCGCUGUUAACGAGAUGGUCGUAGGUUCGAAUCCUGCCGCCGGAGCCA